GGCGUGAUGGCCGAGCGGUUAGGCAGAGGUCUGCAAAACCUCGUACAUGGGUUCGACUCCCGUUCACGCCU
rnacentral:tRNA from 1 species